UACAGAGCUAAGACCGUUUCAUUGUCUCUGUUAAUGUUUCAUUAAGAAUGAUUUCUUUAAUAGCUUUACACUUGACCCAUCCUUCAAAUUCAGGAAAAUGAAGGAUGACUUUUCGGCCACGUUUGGAGCAGCCUUCGAGCUGGGACAGCCUUCAAACGCGGUCUCCGAAGGAUGCAGCCCCUGAAUUGGGACACAGCUUACGUGUCUCAUUAGCUGCCCGGACUCCCACACCUGAUACUCAUUAGAAACAAACAAAACCUACAACAAGAGUUAUGUACUACUGCUUCCUUCCACAGGUCACAGCUCUGUGAGAGAGCAGAAGACUUAAUCCGAGUCCAGUAGGAGGUCUGAGACGUGAGCUUACCUGUAGGAGAGCUCAGCAGAUCGUCUCCAGCCCUGCGGGUGGUGCAGAUGUAGUUACCACUGUCAGAGACUGUGGGGUUUCUCAGAGUGAGGCUGAGGUCUCCAGUCUGCAGAGCGUCGACUCUCAUCGAUGUUCGACUGAAGCAGCGAUGGUUCUGAUCUUUAAGAUCUACUCCGCUCUGCAGACGUAUGUGGACUGUUGGGACCUUCAACUCAUCGCGGUCCCUCACUCCUGGUGUGGCACUCCUGGAAACAUCAGCUGGUACCUGACAGGACAGCAGGACAGACUCCGCCCUCUCAAACACCUCCACCCCUGGGGCAUACUGGGAGUCUGAGGACAGAAACAUGAAGCAGGUGUGA
ensembl:lncRNA